rnacentral:lncRNA from 1 species
CUUCCUUUUCAAGUGAGAUGGUGGCGGCUGUUAUAUAGCCGGAGAAUGCAUUGGUUAUGAUCACUAGAAGAAUGCAGAUUAGAGCUGUUGAGGUCAUUAGCUUUGCCAUUUUUGCUGGUUAAGGGGACAGUUGAAGAUGGGUUUCUAUUGGUUUUGCUUUUAUUUAUUUAUUUAUUUAUUUAUUUAUUUAUGGUUUUGCAUGCAGAAAAACGUGGAAGAUGUAUAGAAUGGUUAGUCACUACCUAUUUGGUGUUUCUAAUUAUGAGGUGGCUGUAAUAUGGUGUGGGUUUUAUUCUUACACAUGUGGAACAAAUCAUUAAACUCUAUAAAAUCCCAAAGUUGAUUAAUUCAGUCAGUUAUUAGUUAUUUUUGACGAUUUUACCCAUAUGUGUAAGAAUAAAACAUGGGGUUUGUACUAUUCUAGCUAACAUGGGGUUUGUUCCAUAAGAUCCAUUGAGAGUCUUGAAGUACUCAAGCAUUUAAGAAUCCACUUGCACUAUUUCUGUCCAAACCCCAUCUUUCUCAUCACUUCUAGUUCUAACAAGAAAUCCCAGCUUAUAGAAUCAUAUGCUUUUUCGAAAUCGGCCUUGAAACAAAAAGUGUUUGAUUUUCUCAGUUUCAGGUCAUGAAUAAUUUCAUUGGAUAUUAAUAAUGCCAUCAACAAUUUAUCUACCACCAAUCAAAGCGGAUUGAUUCUCGCUAAUGAGAUUCCAAUAACCUUUUUCAACCUCAAAGCCAAUGUUUUAGCUAGAAUCUUGUAAAUGCUACUGAUCAGAGAUAUCGGGCGGUAAUCGUUGAGCCUUCGAGGAGAGGAAACUUUGGGAAUUAAUUCAGUAGCAUAUGGAACAAACCCCAUGUUUUAGCUAGAAUGGUUAGAAUUUAAAAUGUGAUUUCAUUUCCUAAAGACAUGCUGAAAUUGAAUAUGUGAAAGGUUUUGACAAAGGACAUCAAAUCUAUUAAAUCUCAAUAAAUCGCACAUAUUUAACAAUUAAAUGAUGAUCCUUUACAUGAGAUUGUGAAAACAGCUUUAAUAAUAACAUAUAAUUCUGCUUCAUUUGAUUCGAUAAUACCUACCGAUUGAAGGGAAAUGCAACCAUAUCACCUUUGAGGUUUCUUAAAACCAAAACCUGCAUAACUUGAUUUUCUUUUUAGUGUGCCAUCAACAUUAAAUUUAAAAUAUAUAAUUUACCUUCAAAAAAAAAAAAAAAAACAUUAAAUUUAAAACAGUUGUCAUUUAGAGAAAUCCACAACAAAGUGGAUUUAACUAUAAAAUUUACUUUCUUUAAAGGUAAUCUGUUAAGAAACCAACAAACGAUGGCAGUAUCAAUCCUUAUAAUCAUAAGGGAUAUAAGGAAAUUUAGAUUUCAGCAGUUCAAAAUUUCUAAAUUUAAUGCAAUCCAACAUAUCCUCGUGGCUUUGAAAAAUAGAGAAAAAUACUUGGUUGCAUCUCAACAAUAAAGCCAAUGAAGCAAUGAAAAAGAUUUGUAAGUUUGAGUUAUCUCAUUGUUAAUUGUCAUGAAAAAUCAUCACUCUUUAUUGCUAUUUUAUCAUUUUUUUUUUCCAGUGAGAAGACACCAAUAAUGCCUUUAUUUAUAUCAAAUGUACCUUUAUUAGAUUUGCUUAAUAUAUAUAUGCUCAGUUUAGUUAGAUAAGUAUUUCUUUUUUCAUAUUAUGGAACUCUAUAUAUAAUCAGGUGACGAGGAUAAUAAAUCAUGUUUACAAAGAUUAGCUCUUAUUAUUUAUGGAGAUUAUUAUACAUAACUCUCACUCACAUUCAAGUGAGUGAAAUUUUAUUUUUCUGCAGAAUAUAUAUAUUAAUAUAUCCAUGUUGUAGGUAGCAUUUUAACGAGGGCAGGCCGAGCCAAAGCAAACAUCGAUUAUAUUGUAAGACCUACUCUCUGCCUCUUCAUAUUCUUCGCUUCCAACAAAUCCUUGCUUCUCUGGUAGAUACAAUAUGGAUUCACAUCGACAAAUGGCACGUAGCUUCCUUGCUUGGUCACAACAUUGUCUAGGAACGUUAUGGUGCCGGUUUUCGAUUCCUUUCAUAGCUAACAGAGCUUCUGACCUUGUUCUCGACUGUCUUAUAUACCUCUCACAAGAGCUCAAAUUUGUUCUUUCAGCUUCUCUCUUGCACAUUUCCCGAACUUCAUAAGCAUCGUCCAUUUCAACGGUGGUGGUGGUGGUGGUGGUUGUCAUAUGGCCGGAGACUGCAUUGGCUAUGAUCACUAGAAGAAUGCAGAUUAGAGCAGUUGAGGUAAUUAGCUUUGCCAUUUUUGCUCAAAGCUCGUGGUUUUGGUUAAGGGAACAGUGAAGAAUAAGAUGGGUGUUUAUAAGGGUUUUUUUGGGUUUUGCAUGCAGAAAAACGUGGAAGAUGUAUAGAAUGAUCAGUCACUAGCUUUUUGGUGUUUCUAAUUAUGAGGUGGCCAAAAUGGUUUGAUGGUGUAGGUUCUUCUUUACACGUAUGGAACAAAUAAUUUGGAUUCGCAUCCGCUGGCUCACGUGAGGGGCAAAGCGUUUCCCCUCAAUUUUUUUUUUUUUAAAAAAACAUAAUUUCAUUUACAUGAAAUGACAAACUAAUAGCAUUUGGGUAAUAAUUGUAGCGCUCGCGUUAAAAAGUAACUGCCAACUAAAUAUAUAAAUUAAUAUAAUUUUUGAAAUUCAGGUCAGGUAAUUACAUAAAGAGAAAAAAUUUAUUAAAAUUGCGGAUCAGUCGUUGUCUGAUAGAAAGACCUCUCGUAAUAGAUGUAGGAAGUGAGAGAUCUCGAGUUUGAAUGCUCUCCUUCUGUUGUGCAGCUCACAAUAUUAUUACAGUUUGUUGCACCUCCAUGUAUCUAAAAAAAUAUUAAAAUUAUAGAAUCUACAUGAAAAAUACCCAUCUAGAUUAAGUCUAUAACUCUAUUUAUAAAACCAAAUUAAUGAAAUUAAGAAUUUUUAAAAAAUUGAUCCUCAAUCCAUUGGGUCUAAUCUUACUCGCGGUGUAAAUAAAAAAUUUCUCCAAUCACAAAUAUGGAACACUCGAAAAUUUUCUCCAAUCACAUGUGUGAAACACUCGAACUCUUGCAGAAGUGAUAUGAAUUCUUUCCACUCAAACUAAUUUGUUGACAGUCAAUCAUAUUGAUUAAUACAUUAUAUCUUUGACUAAACCAUUUCAAACCCAAACUUAACGAGUUGUUGUAAUUCUACUCGGAACUUAACCUAUUAGACCCGAAUUUCAAAUUUAUGUUAUAAUUACAUCCUAAAAGUGAAAUUGGUCAAAAAUUGAGAUUAAAAAAAUAAUAAAUAUGGAUCCACGUGGCAGUCAAUGAGCAUAUUUUUUGCAAAAGGCUGCAUCCAUUUUCUGCCAUUGACGACAUGCUUUCUUGUGUUAUAUUGUUUUUAUUAAUUAGUGUUGAGCACACUUUGUUUAAAUCGAUUAAAUUAAGUUAAUUUGAUUUUUAAUAUUACAAUUUGGUUUUAGAUUUUAAAGAAAAAAUUAAAAUUUUUUUGACUCAUUUUAUUUUCAUUAACUCUAAAAGUUAAGUUUAAAACCAUAGAAAAGCUAAAAACUUGAUGUUUAAUAUAAUUAAAUCAGUUUGAUUCAAUUCAAUUCAAUUUUACUUUUUAUAUAAUAUUUAGAUAUAAUUAAAUCAGUUUGAUUAAUUCAAUUUUAUUUUCUAUCUACUAUUUAAUUCAGUUCUAUUUGAAUUUUAUUUCAGAAAAUUUUAUUUUGUGGUUAUUGCUUGACUACUCAUUACUGGGUCUGAUUUCCAAGUUGACACAUAUGCUUCUACCUCUAAAUUUUGUUUGCUUGUUCGUUAGUUAUAUGCACCCAAUAUAGUUCGAUGUUUGCUUUCUUAUAUUAUGAAACUCUAUAAAGUAUCAAAACAAUUUUUGCCAUUUUGUUUGGAUCUUCUUUAUUUUCUUUAUUUUACUUUUGUUUCUUACAUGUUCAUGAAUUAUAGUAAUACUAUAAUUUUCACAAUUUCUAGGUUUUCUUCUGCAUAAUAACAUCUCUCUAAGAAAUUUUUUUUUUUUUUUUCAGUUUUUAUUACAAGACAUUAGGAAAGCUUGAAGCAACGUUACAAGAAGCAGUUUCGAACAAACUUAUUCUGAUGCUCUUACUUCUUAUACAUCAUUAUAUAUAACUCUCACUCACAUACAAGUGAAUGAAGUUUUAUUCACCUGCAGCUAGCAUUUUAACGAGGGCAUAUAGACCCAAAGCAAACAUCAAUUAUAUUUUUAGUCCUGCGCCUUGCCUCAUCUUCGCUUCCAACUUCUCCUUCCUCCAGCUGCUUCUCUAACAGAUAAUGUAUUGAUUCACAUCGACAAAUAGCACUUAGUUCCUUUGCUUGGUUACAGCAUUGUCUAGGAACCUGCUGUCGAGGGUUUUCAAUUCCUGGCAUAGCUAACAUAUCUUCUGACCUUCCUCUUCUCUGUGUUAUAUAAUUCUCACAGGAACUCAAAUCUCUUCUUUCAGCUUCCUUCUUGCAUAUAUCCCGAACAUUGGAAGAAUCGUCGACUUCAACGGUGGUGAUGAUAGUUCUGUAGCCAGUGACUGCAUUGGCUAUGAUCACUAGAAGAACGCAGAGUAGGGCUGUUGAGGUAAUUAGAUUUGCCAUUUUUGCUUAAAGCUUGUGGGUUUUGGUAAUACUGAAGAUGGUUUUUAUAAGGGUUUCUUUGGGUUGCAUGUAGAGAACGUGGAAGAUGUAUAGAAUGGGUUGGUUACAAAUGGUACGAUGGUGUCUGUUAUGAUUACACGUAAUGAACAAAUGUUUCGUUGCUUAGACUUUCGGUCUAUAGAUUUGUCUAAACGAGAUUUAUGACCCCAUUUAUGGGUCAAAUAAAUAAAUAAAAUUAAAAAAUUUUAAGAUGGAUUCAUGACUCCAUUUAUGAAUUAAAUAAAUAAAAUUAAAAAAUUUUAAAAAGUGUUUCGAUUUUAUUCUUUUUUUUCAAGCGUAUGGUUAGAAAUACCCUCAUUUUCAUAAAAAUAUUUAUUUCACUGGUUUGAUCUAUAAAUGAGAUCAUUGAUCAGAUCUAAGUAAAUUUUUCUAUAAUUAUAGUCAUUUAUCUAAACACACUUUUCUUUACCACCAACAAAAAAUUUUUAUUAGAAUUAAAAAAUUAGAAAAAAUUAACAUUUUCAGAAAUUGAGAACCAAAGAACCAAUAAACUUUUCCAAUACACUAUCAACUAGCACUCUAUUACAAUGCUAAGGAGAUUUAUAUUUGUAUUUUUUUAUUUUAAUAUUUUGUGAAUUUAGUCUUUUUAUUUUAACAAAAAAAAAAAUUAUCUACUAUUGAUGUGUAUUCAUUUCUCACAAACCAAAUUAAAAAAAUUAAUUGUUGCUCUUUAUCAUUAUUAUUUCUCUGCUUCUUCAAUUGAACUUCAUCAUAUGUAUAUGUCAAAAUCCUAUAAAAAAAAUAUGUAUAUGUCAAAAUAAUUACUAACAUGUUAAUUUUCUUAAUUUGCUGGCUUUCUUUUCAGUUUUUAUUACAGGACAUCAGGAAAAACUUGAAUCAACAUUACAAGAAACAGAGAUUGGCCAAAUAAAUGACACCAAACAAACUUAGUUUGAUGCUUUUAUUUUAUAUACAUUAUUAAUUAUACAUGACUCUCACUCACAUACAGAAUGAGAUUUUAUUUACUUGCAGGAGCAUAUCAUAAUUGUAGCUAGCAUUUUAACGAGGGCAGAUCGAGUCAAAGCAAACAUCAAUUAUAUUGUUAGUCCUACGCUUUGCCUCAUCAUAUUCUUGACUUCCAAUUUGUCCUUCCUCCACCUGCUUCUCCAAUAGAUACUCUAUCGAUUCACAUUGACAAAGUGGACCUAGUUUCUCUGCUUGGUUACAACAUUGUCUAGGAACCUGUUGUUUCGGGUUUUCAAUUCCUCGCAUAGCUAACAUCGCUUCUGACCUUCUUCCUGACUGUCUUAUAUAAUUCUCACAGAAGCUCAAAUCUUUUCUUUCAGCUUCCCACUUGCAUAUUUUCCGAACAUUAGAAGAACUGUCGGUUUCAACGGUGGUGCUGAGAGUUCUAUAGCCGGAGACUGCAUUGGCUAUGAUCACUAGAAGAAUGCAGAGUAGGGCUGUUAAGGUAAUUAGCUUUGCCAUUUUUGCUU